UUGCACAAUGGGGGAAACCCUGAUGCAGCCAUGCCGCGUGUGUGAAGAAGGCCUUCGGGUUGUAAAGCACUUUCAGCGAGGAGGAAAGGUUGACCGGUUUAAUACCCGUCAGCUGUGACGUUACUCGCAGAAGAAGCACCGGCUAACUCCGUGCCAGCAGCCGCGGUAAUACGGAGGGUGCGAGCGUUAAUCGGAAUUACUGGGCGUAAAGCGCAUGCAGGCGGCCAAGUCAGUCAGAUGUGAAAGCCCCGGGCUUAACCCUGGGAAUUGCAUUUGAAACUGCUUGGCUAGAGUCCUUGAGAGGGGGUAGAAUUUCAGGUGUAGCGGUGAAAUGCGUAGAGAUCUGAAGGAAUACCAGUGGCGAAGGCGGCCCCCUGGCAAGAGACUGACGCUCAGAUGCGAAAGCGUGGGGACGCAAACAGGAUUAGACUACCCUGGUAG
rnacentral:rRNA from 1 species